rnacentral:rRNA from 1 species
GUACACUCCUGCGGGAGUCAGCAGUGGGGAAUAUUGGACAAUGGGCGCAAGCCUGAUCCAGCCAUGCCGCGUGAGUGAUGAAGGCCCUAGGGUUGUAAAGCUCUUUCACCGGUGAAGAUAAUGACGGUAACCGGAGAAGAAGCCCCGGCUAACUUCGUGCCAGCAGCCGCGGUAAUACGAAGGGGGCUAGCGUUGUUCGGAUUUACUGGGCGUAAAGCGCACGUAGGCGGACUAUUAAGUCAGGGGUGAAAUCCCGGGGCUCAACCCCGGAACUGCCUUUGAUACUGGUAGUCUUGAGUUCGAGAGAGGUGAGUGGAAUUCCGAGUGUAGAGGUGAAAUUCGUAGAUAUUCGGAGGAACACCAGUGGCGAAGGCGGCUCACUGGCUCGAUACUGACGCUGAGGUGCGAAAGCGUGGGGAGCAAACAGGAUUAGAAACCCGUGUAGUCCCAUGA